AGUGAACGCUGGCGGUAGGCCUAACACAUGCAAGUCGAACGGCAGCACAGUAAGAGCUUGCUCUUACGGGUGGCGAGUGGCGGACGGGUGAGGAAUACAUCGGAAUCUACUUUUUCGUGGGGGAUAACGUAGGGAAACUUACGCUAAUACCGCAUACGACCUACGGGUGAAAGCAGGGGAUCUUCGCACCUUGCGCGAUUGAAUGAGCCGAUGUCGGAUUAGCUAGUUGGCGGGGUAAAGGCCCACCAAGGCGACGAUCCGUAGCUGGUCUGAGUGGAUGUUCAGCCACACGGGAACUGAGACACGGUCCAGACUCCUACGGGAGGCAGCAGUGGGGAAUAUUGGACAAUGGGCGCAAGCCUGAUCCAGCCAUACCGCGUGGGUGAAGAAGGCCUUCGGGUUGUAAAGCCCUUUUGUUGGGAAAGAAAAGCAGCAGGUUAAUACCCCGCUGUUCUGACGGUACCCAAAGAAUAAGCACCGGCUAACUUCGUG
rnacentral:rRNA from 1 species